rnacentral:rRNA from 1 species
UGGAGGGCAAGUCUGGUGCCAGCAGCCGCGGUAAUUCCAGCUCCAAUAGCGUAUAUUAAAGUUGUUGCAGUUAAAAAGCUCGUAGUUGAAUUUCGGGGUUAGUAGGUUGGUCGUGCCUCAGGUAUGUACUGAUCUCACUGAUUCCUCCUUCCUGAUGAACCGUAAUGCCAUUAAUUUGGUGUUGCGGGGAAACUGGACUGUUACUUUGAAAAAAUUAGAGUGUUUAAAGCAGGCUAACGCUUGAAUACAUUAGCAUGGAAUAAUGAAAUAGGACGUUCGAUCCUAUUUUGUUGGUUUCUAGGAUUGACGUAAUGAUUAAUAGGGAUAGUUGGGGACAUUAGUAUUCAAUUGUCAGAGGUGAAAUUCUUGGAUUUAUUGAAGACUAACUACUGCGAAAGCAUUUGCCAAGGAUGUUUUCAUUAAUCAAGAACGAAAGUUAGGGGAUCGAAGACGAUCAGAUACCGUCGUAGUCUUAACCAUAAACUAUGCCGACUAGGGAUCGGAUGAUGUUAAUUUUUUAAUGACUCAUUCGGCGCCUUACGGGAAACCAAAGUGUUUGGGUUC